GUCCUGAGUUCAGAGUUCAACAUGCUAACAUGCUUGUUUCAGUAAGUGGAGUAGCAGUGACUUUGCAGUGUGUGUACAGUUUGUUUUAAUAUGAAUAUACUUUUAAGUUAGUCGUGACUUUUGCGUGUUUAUUUUGUCUUCGUGUGUCGAACAUGUCAGUGGACGCAUCAAAGCACGAGCUGACCCAUCUCAUCUACCGCCAUUUGAAGGAGCAUGGUUUCCACUCAGCUGCAGAUGAGCUACAGAGGCACAGCCUACAGGGGGAGAAAAAAACAUCUGCAACAUUAUUGGACAUCUACAGUUCGUGGUUAAAGGACUCAAAAAAGAAAAAGCAGCCGGAGUCAGCCAAAGGGACUCCAGUUAAGGCCACUCUAAAGAAAAAGAAGGACAAACCUGCAAACAAAGCAGAGACGCAAAAAAAGAAGUCCGUGCCAGCUAAAAGGAAAAAAAGUGAAGGUAAAUCUGCAGAAAAUGUCAUCAAUGCGAAAAAAUCAAAGACCAAAACAAAGGACAAGUUGGUGGCCGCUGGAGAAGAUGAUUCAGACUCUGACAGCAGUCUGGAUGUAGAUAAAUGGAAGAAAAUGGUCUUACAGAUGACAGAGUCUGACAUGGCCAAGAUGGACACCAUCAAUGCUCUGGACUCGUCUGCACCGCCCGCCAUUAAAAAGAGAGUGAGGAAGCCGCGGGCUAAGCCUCCUGCCAAAACCGACACUCCAGUUCAACAGAAUAACAGGACAGUUGGAAAGAAUGAAAUGGCGGAGGAGAAAGCCACGACACAAACAGCAACAAAGAGUAGUAAACCCAAGAGGAGCAGGCCAAAAAAGAGUUCACCUGUGACCUCGUCUGCCCCCCCGAGCCAAGAGCAAAACACCAACGCUGUAGAGGACAGGCCAGCAGCAUCCACUCUCUCCUCGUCAAAACAGACGCCACAGAAAGAGAAAAGAAAAAAAGAUGUGACCCCGAGUGAAGAAAAAACAGAUGAGACGUCUGAGCCCAAGAAGAAGAAGAAGAAAAAGGAGAGGACUAAAGAUAAGGUGGAAGAGAAUCCGAAUGAGACCGGUGGAGAUGGAAAAGACAACAACAGUGAAGAGCAGAAGAAGAUUGUAGUCACAGAGCAAGAGUUAGCUGAUAAACCUGCAAAGGAGAAGAAAAAGGCAAAAGGAACAAAGGGAGAUAGUAAAAUGAGCAAGACGGAAGAAGAAAUCAUGAGGAACAAAAAUGGGGAUGUUGACAACGAGGAAAUUUCCGAGCCGACAGUGCAAGAAAAGAAGGCCAAGAAGAAGAAAAAGGAAAAAACUGAUAGUGAGGAAAAUCCACUGCAGACAGCGGAAGAAAAGAAAGCAAAGAAGAAAAGGACCGCUGGUAGUGAGGAAAAUUCAGAGCAAACAGUAGUAGAAGACGGAGAAAAUUCAGAGCCGGUAGUUCAAGAAAAGAAAGCAAAGAAGAAGAAAAAGGAGAAACCUGAUGAAGAAAAUUCAGAGCAGACAGUUGAAGAAAAGAAAAAGAAAAAAAAGCACAAAUCUGGUCAUGAUGAGGAGACGUCAGAGCAGAUAGUUGAAGAAAAUAUAACAAUGACCAAUGAAUCAGAGACGCCAGAGCAGGUGACUGAAGUGAAGAAGAAGAAAAAGAUAAAGGACUCAUCAUUGAAAAAUAAUGACCCAGAACCACUACCUCCACCUGACUCCGAGACAUCAAGUCCUCCAACAGAGAAGAAGAAAAAAAAAAGCAAGUUGAAAUCCGCCGAGGUCCCAGAAACCCCGGAAGUUUCUGUCCAAGAUGCUUCGGCCACACUAACCCUCCAAACGCCCUCAAGUGACACCGGCCACAAAAAGAAAAAGAAAUCCUCCAAGAGUUGUGAAGAUGUUUGAUUCUUCAUCCCUGCAGAACCAAAGGAUGAAGGCAACGCAUCCGGACCGCCUUAUUUCUAAUCAUAUUUUAAUGGUUAGAAGGAUCACUUAAACAUUGAAAUCUUCAAUAUAUGCCUGUUAACUCAGCUCUUGGGGAGAAAAAAAGAACACAUCACAACUUUUGACCAGUUUUAUAUUUAUUAAAAAAUAUAUGGACAAUUGUUUUAAAAGGCUAUUUGAUGUUGUGUUAAAUUCCUAUGUUUUUGAAAAACAUGUUUUGUAAACAAAAGUUUUAAAUGCUUGAUGAAGCUUUCGCAUAUGCAUUGUACAUUGUGCUUUUAAUACAAAUUAAACUCCAUAGUUUUUUAAGCA